rnacentral:tRNA from 1 species
GGAUGUGGCUCAGUUGGUAGAGGGCUUGCCUGGCAUGCAUGAGGCCCUGGGUUCAAUUCCCAGAACCA